AGGUCAGUGAACUCAGGAGUAGGUUUUUGAUAAAAGAGUAAGUUCAGCCCCCUUCCUCUCUGUUUCUCCUUUGAGUGUUCUCUUGCCAUUCCACCUUCUGCCAUGAAAUAAUACAACAAGAAGGCCCUCAUCAGAUGCCAAACAGAUGAUGGUGCCAUGCUCUUGAACAUCCCAGCCUCCAGAAUUAUUCAUCCUCUACUGAUUCCAGGAUUAGGACAUCAUCAUAACAUAGCAGGAAAUUCACAAUCCUAGAGAUGGGGGUAUGGUGAGAUGCAAGAGCAUUAGAGGACUAUGGAAAUUAUGGGAGCAUGACAUUCUGAAAUUGCACGACUAAGGAAUUGGAAAUAUUUCUCAGGACAUGAUGAUUAUCUGGACACUGGCAAUGAAUCUUGAUCAUUCACCUCGGUGGCUGAGCACCUGUGAACAAGGCCCAGCUCACUGAUGAAGUUUCCCGUGGGCCAACUAGCUUCAAAGACGCGAAUACCGUCUGCACCGUGACGGCAGAUGACACUCCUAAUUCUAAGCAACCAGCUCACAAAGAGACAAGGCUUCAUGUUUGAGACCAAAGUCCUGACCUCAGGUGAUCCGCCCCCCUCGGCCUCCCCAAGUGCUGGGAUUACAAGCGUGAGCAACCGUGUCCGGUGAUGUCUGCAACUUUACUUUGAAAUGUAUCAAAAAAGAAAAAAGAUGGACAGCUGAAUGGGAAAAUGGAUGGAUAAACAGAAUAGAUACCUGAUAAAGCAGAUACAGUAAAUGUUAAUCAUAGAAUCUAAGUGGAGGGUAUACAGAUAUUUGCUGUAAAACCUUCCCCUUUUUCCAUAUGUUGAAAUUUUGUUCACAAUAAAAUGCUGAUAAAAGUUAAAAGAUGCAUCACAACUUGGAAUUUGCUUCCUCAAAAAGGUGUGGAAGUAAAUCACAAUAUUUGUAGAAAUCAACAUGAAGGAAGACAGGAAUUCAUUGUGGAAUUGUAAACAGAAAGCACUUAGGUAAGAGUUUAGUAAAACAUGUUUGCUGCCCAGUAGGAAAAAGCAGCAUGUACUAUAGUUGAACCUUAGAGAAUCAUGGAAAUAAAUUCCUCAUCUCAGUGAAAUGUUCUGGUGACAUAUUUUAUUUGUGUAGUGUUAACAGGGCUACCCCGGUCAUCUCUGGGGUUAGUGAUGCUAGGUGGCACCUCAGGAGAAGUUUUGAUUCUGAGUUCAGCUUCCUAUGAGCCAGGUCUCAAGCACCAAGGGGCCACGAAAACAUCACGUUCAAUGAGAGAGGGAGGGAGAGCAUGCAUGCAUGAGAAUAAACAAGCAUUUAUCCUGCCCUGAAAACAAAGUCCUCUAGGUGAACAAGAAAUCAGAGAUGCCCAAUCCAUUGGCUUCAGAAAAGAGCAUCUCAUGUCAUCCAACACUGAGAGGAGAAUAGCAGUGCCCCAGUUAGAUUGCAUCCUACAGGCACAAGAUAAAUGAUUCUAACAGAAGCCGGCCAAAUGGAAAAAAAGGGCACAGAUAUUUCGAUUGUCAAGACACAUUAACCUUGUCAACCCUGAAUAAUGCAACAUUAUAUACUAUUGUUCGUUCCUAAAUACAGCCCCCCAAAAUAAAAAGCAAAACAGCAAU
rnacentral:lncRNA from 1 species